rnacentral:rRNA from 1 species
GACGAACGCUGGCGGCGUGCUUAACACAUGCAAGUCGAACGGUGAACCUCUUCGGAGGGGAUCAGUGGCGAACGGGUGAGUAACACGUGGUCAACCUUCCCCCGGCUCUGGGAUAACUCCAAUAAAUUGGGGCUAAUACCGGAUGUUCACCGCUUCCCGCAUGGGUGGUGGUGGAAGGGGUUUCCGGCUGGUGAUGGGCCCGCGGCCUAUCAGCUUGUUGGUGGGGGAGUGGCCUACCAAGGCGACGACGGGUAGCCGGCAGGGGAGGGUGGACGCCCACACUGGGACUGAGACACGGCCCAGACGCCAACGGGAGGCAGCAGUGGGGAAUCUUGCGCAAUGGGCGGAAGCCUGACGCAGAGACGCCGCGUGGGGGAUGACGGCCUUCGGGUUGUAAACCUAUUACAGCAGGGACGAAGCGCAAGUGACGGUACCUGCAGAAGAAGCACCGGCCAACUACGUG